UCAGCGACGCCGCGUGGAGGACGAAGCCCUUCGGGGUGUAAACUCCUUUUCUCAGGGAAAAAAGAUGAUGGUACCUGAGGAAUAAGCCCCGGCUAACUACGUGCCAGCAGCCGCGGUAAA
rnacentral:rRNA from 1 species